AGCAGCCGCGGUAAUUCCAGCUCCAAUAGCGUAUAUUAAAGUUGUCGCAGUUAAAAAGCUCGUAGUUGAAUUUCGGGGUCAGUAGGUUGGUCGUGCCACUGGUAUGUACUGGCCUCACUGAUUCCUCCUUCUUGUAGAACCGUAAUGCCAUUAAGUUGGUGUUGUGGGGAAACAGGACCGUUACUUUGAAAAAAUUAGAGUGUUUAAAGCAGGCUAACGCUUGAAUACAUUAGCAUGGAAUAAUGAAAUAGGACGUUUGAUCCUAUUUUGUUGGUUUCUAGGAUUGACGUAAUGAUUAAUAGGGAUAGUUGGGGGCAUUAGUAUUCAAUUGUCAGAGGUGAAAUUCUUGAAUUUAUUGAAGACUAACUACUGCGAAAGCAUUUGCCAAGGAUGUUUUCAUUAAUCAAGAACGAAAGUUAGGGGAUCGAAGACGAUCAGAUACCGUCGUAGUCUUAACCAUAAACUAUGCCGACUAGGGAUCGGAUGAUGUUAAUUUUUUAAUGUCAGA
rnacentral:rRNA from 1 species